UCUCAGUUAGCUCAGUUGGUAGAGCAUCGGUCUUAUGAGCCGAAGGUCAUGGGUUCAAUCCCCAUAUUGAGAA
rnacentral:tRNA from 1 species